UCAUGAAUUCCUGAUGGGUAAGAUUCCUACCAUUUGUUCUAGGGUUAGGGCUAAAUGUGCUCGAUUCUGCUCCCUUUUGUAGUCGUGUUAUUUUUUUAUUGGCAAAAUUUGCUGCUUGGUAUGUAGGAUGGAUCCCAAUUCGUCCUACAGGCUAGCUGCUCGAGUAGGUGCUGAUGUAAAAUUUACUGAUGAUGAUGGUCGCCAAUAUUGUGAGGCAUGCAACAUUCCUAAGAUUCUAGACAGAGAUAGCACAAAUUGGAAUGAUUUGCUGCUUGAUAUUAGUGCAGAAAUUAAGCUUGGCUCUAAACACAAAAUGCGUGUCACAUAUUUGGAUAAUAUGAGCCGUAGUUAUGAAGAGAUCAAUUCUGACCAGAAAUUGCUUCAUGCUAUUGACAUGUAUUGGGAGUCAAGAAGGCUAUCCGUACAAGUUUGUGUUCUGAGAAAGGAUGAAUCAGAUGCUGUGCAUGAUGUUGGACGGCUGGAGAGCAUGCCUUGUUUGUUGCAAGGAAGCACUGACAUCAUGUGCUGCUGAUCCACCACAAGAACAACCAUCACCUGUUGAACCAUUUGCUACACCAAAUAGACUUAUCCCUUCUGUUUCCACAUCAAGCCCUGCGACAAGAAGGUACAACUGCAUUUGCAAAAUGUAAAAAAAAAAUCUGUUACUACAAUCUCAUAGGUUUCUUCAUUGCAGUAUGUCAAAAAGGUUGCAGCUAGAGCCAUCCACGCCAAGUACAACCAUCUCUCCUGUUCAAACACCUAGUCCGAUGACAAGGGGGUAUAACUUUUUAAAUCUUUAUGUCUUCUUGGCUGUCAUCUUUACUUCAGUUAAUUGACAUGCUUUUGUAUCGAUUUUACAGCCGCAAGAGGAUGUUGGAAUAUGAAGGCUCCAUACAGCCCAUUACCUGCUCAGCUCUAUCUCCAAUGCGUGUCGAUGAGAAGGGAGAGGCGAAAAAGCUAAAAGUAGUUAGGUCCAAGAAAAUGGAAAUGUAGGUUAUGUAGUAUUUUGUUGUAGGUCUAAUGUGGGCACUUGCUAGUAUCAGGAUAGCCAGAUGUGGCUCAAACAUUUCUUUUGGUUUGCUGGACCUCUAAGUCCUUUUUCUUUUACCAUGCUGUGUUCUAAGGGUGAAUUCUAUAACCCAAUGUGGCUAAACCUGCUAUUUUGUA